rnacentral:vault_RNA from 1 species
ACGUCGGCCUAGCAAUGUGGAUACUUCGUUUAUUACUCAAAAGAUUGAAUACUAUACGGUUAGGGCGGGGAUCAUCUCUCUCGCGAGAGAUCGAUUCCGCCUAACCAGCAUCCACAUGCGCCAUCCGACGUUUUU